AAAUUGAAGAGUUUGAUCAUGGCUCAGAUUGAACGCUGGCGGCAGGCCUAACACAUGCAAGUCGAACGGUAACAGGAAGCAGCUUGCUGCUUUGCUGACGAGUGGCGGACGGGUGAGUAAUGUCUGGGAAACUGCCUGAUGGAGGGGGAUAACUACUGGAAACGGUGGCUAAUACCGCAUAACGUCGCAAGACCAAAGAGGGGGACCUUCGGGCCUCUUGCCAUCAGAUGUGCCCAGAUGGGAUUAGCUUGUUGGUGAGGUAACGGCUCACCAAGGCGACGAUCCCUAGCUGGUCUGAGAGGAUGACCAGCCACACUGGAACUGAGACACGGUCCAGACUCCUACGGGAGGCAGCAGUGGGGAAUAUUGCACAAUGGGCGCAAGCCUGAUGCAGCCAUGCCGCGUGUAUGAAGAAGGCCUUCGGGUUGUAAAGUACUUUCAGCGGGGAGGAAGGUGUUGUGGUUAAUAACCGCAGCAAUUGACGUUACCCGCAGAAGAAGCACCGGCUAACUCCGUGCCAGCAGCCGCGGUAAUACGGAGGGUGCAAGCGUUAAUCGGAAUUACUGGGCGUAAAGCGCACGCAGGCGGUCUGUCAAGUCGGAUGUGAAAUCCCCGGGCUCAACCUGGGAACUGCAUUCGAAACUGGCAGGCUUGAGUCUUGUAGAGGGGGGUAGAAUUCGGGUGUAGCGGUGAAAUGCGUAGAGAUCUGGAGGAAUACCGGUGGCGAAGGCGGCCCCCUGGACAAAGACUGACGCUCAGGUGCGAAAGCGUGGGGAGCAAACAGGAUUAGAUACCCUGGUAGUCCACGCCGUAAACGAUGUCUACUUGGAGGUUGUGCCCUUGAGGCGUGGCUUCCGGAGCUAACGCGUUAAGUAGACCGCCUGGGGAGUACGGCCGCAAGGUUAAAACUCAAAUGAAUUGACGGGGGCCCGCACAAGCGGUGGAGCAUGUGGUUUAAUUCGAUGCAACGCGAAGAACCUUACCUGGUCUUGACAUCCACAGAAGAAUCCAGAGAUGGAUUUGUGCCUUCGGGAACUGUGAGACAGGUGCUGCAUGGCUGUCGUCAGCUCGUGUUGUGAAAUGUUGGGUUAAGUCCCGCAACGAGCGCAACCCUUAUCCUUUGUUGCCAGCGGUUAGGCCGGGAACUCAAAGGAGACUGCCAGUGAUAAACUGGAGGAAGGUGGGGAUGACGUCAAGUCAUCAUGGCCCUUACGACCAGGGCUACACACGUGCUACAAUGGCGCAUACAAAGAGAAGCGACCUCGCGAGAGCAAGCGGACCUCAUAAAGUGCGUCGUAGUCCGGAUUGGAGUCUGCAACUCGACUCCAUGAAGUCGGAAUCGCUAGUAAUCGUGGAUCAGAAUGCCACGGUGAAUACGUUCCCGGGCCUUGUACACACCGCCCGUCACACCAUGGGAGUGGGUUGCAAAAGAAGUAGGUAGCUUAACCUUCGGGAGGGCGCUUACCACUUUGUGAUUCAUGACUGGGGUGAAGUCGUAACAAGGUAACCGUAGGGGAACCUGCGGUUGGAUCACCUCCUUA
rnacentral:rRNA from 1 species